rnacentral:lncRNA from 1 species
GAAGAACAGGCCCUGGCCGCUGCUGUACUAGGCCUGCUCUGUGUGCAGUUGGGCCCUGGACCCAAGGGCGAGGAGCUGUUCCAUAGCCUGCAGCCCCUGCUAAUCUCGGUGCUCAGUGACAGUACAGCAAGCCCCACUGCCCGGCUCCAUUGUGCUUCUGCUCUUGGCUUGGGCUGCUAUGUGGCUGCCACCGAUGUCCAGGACCUGGUCUCUUGCUUGGCCUGCUUGGAAGGUGUUUUCAGCUGGUCCUGUGGCACCGGCGGCUCUGCUGCUUCUCUGGUUCCUGCCAGCCUACAUGGCCUGCUCUGUGCCGCCCUGCAGGCCUGGGCAUUGCUGCUCACCAUCUGCCCUAGUACCCACAUCAACCACAUCCUUGACAGCUGCCCCGGCUGCCCCAGCUCCUGUCCAGUGAAAGUGUGAACCUGCGGAUUGCUGCUGGUGAAGCCAUCGCCCUGCUCUUCGAGCUUGCCCGGGAUCUCGAGGAGGACUUCAUCUAUGAGGACAUGGAGGCUCUGUGUGGAUCUCUGCGGACUCUCGCCACCGACAGCAAUAAGUACCGUGCCAAGAUUGACCGUCGACGCCAGCGCUCCAUUUUCCGAGCCGUGCUGCACUUUGUUGAGGGCGGUGAAUGUGAGGAGGAAACAAUCCGCUUUGGACUGGAAGUGCUCUACAUAGACAGCUGGGCUCGCCACCGCAUCUACACAGCCUUCAAAGAUGU